rnacentral:rRNA from 1 species
UCUGUAGGUGGUCAAAUAAGUCAACUGUUAAAUCUUGAGGCUCAACCUCGAAAUCGCAGUCGAAACUGUUAGACUAGAGUAUAGUAGGGGUAAAGGGAAUUUCCAGUGGAGCGGUGAAAUGCGUAGAGAUUGGAAAGAACACCGAUGGCGAAGGCACUUUACUGGGCUAUUACUAACACUCAGAGACGAAAGCUAGGUUAGCAAAUG